rnacentral:Y_RNA from 1 species
GGCUGGCCCGAGGGCAGUGGUGUUUGGAACUGACUGAUCACAACCGGUUCCGGACAGAUUCCUUUUGGUCUUUGGCCACUCUCACUGCUGCACUUGACCAGCCCAAA